GAUGAACGCUAGCUACAGGCUUAACACAUGCAAGUCGAGGGGCAGCAUGAACUUAGCUUGCUAAGUUUGAUGGCGACCGGCGCACGGGUGAGUAACACGUAUCCAACCUGCCGAUGACUCGGGGAUAGCCUUUCGAAAGAAAGAUUAAUACCCGAUGGCAUAGUUCUUCCGCAUGGUGGAACUAUUAAAGAAUUUCGGUCAUCGAUGGGGAUGCGUUCCAUUAGGUUGUUGGCGGGGUAACGGCCCACCAAGCCUUCGAUGGAUAGGGGUUCUGAGAGGAAGGUCCCCCACAUUGGAACUGAGACACGGUCCAAACUCCUACGGGAGGCAGCAGUGAGGAAUAUUGGUCAAUGGACGAGAGUCUGAACCAGCCAAGUAGCGUGAAGGAUGACUGCCCUAUGGGUUGUAAACUUCUUUUAUACGGGAAUAAAGUGAGGCACGUGUGCCUUUUUGUAUGUACCGUAUGAAUAAGGAU
rnacentral:rRNA from 1 species